CGGAUUACUUCCUUUUAAUAAAUGUCAAUACACUAUAUUUGAUAAUACUAUAAAAAUGUAAUAAACAUUGUCUUGUGCUGUUUUCUUCAACUACAGAUCCUCAAUUGAAUCAGUCAAUCAGGUUAGAAAUCAAAUGCUUAAAAUACCAAUUGGAGAAACAAUAUAGAAGUUGAAUAUUGCAUGCAUAUGAAACAUCAAUUCAAGCCCUCACUUAACCAGUGUGCACCAAGCAAAUCCAAAGUGUCUUGCAAUUAUGUAGCAUGACCAAAAUGCUAUAAAUGCAUCUGGGAACAAAUUUUUGAAGUAGAGGAAAACGUGCAAGUUGAAUCAUGUAUAAGAGAUCGGCUUGGGUCGAGAUAGCUUCUUCUUUAUACUUGAAGGGUGGGCUCAAUCUUGUCUUUAGAAUUCUGCAUGUUUGUAAUUAUACAUGUGUAAGCAAGCAUACAUUACCAUAAUAAUAACAAUAAGAAAAAAGAAGCAAAUGUUAUGAUACGACUAUAAACUCCAUCAGACAAACAAUAAUGUAUAAAUUAAUGUGACAUAAUAUGAUUGAUUAAACAAAAACAUCACAUGGACCACUUGAUUUAUUUUUUAUUAUUAUAUAUUUUCAGUCGACCAAUCAUAUUAUACCAUAUCAAUUUCUACAAAAUAAUUUGGUAGUUAGCGCCAAUACUUAGUUAAUUAAUACUGACCAUUUCAUUGAACAAUUUAUGUAUGGUGUCAUUGAGGUUGCCUUCCCAGCAUCCUUCUUAUUUUUCGGUGAGUUUCACUUUAUUUAGCGUUGGCGUGCCUAUGAUUCCUUGAGAGAAAAUCUUCAUCUUUGGGCACUGUCUCACAAGUACUUGUUUCAAGGACGGGAACUCAAGAGUGUAAUUACCUGAAUAAAAGCUUGUUAGGCUUGGCAAACAGUCAAGUCCCAAGUACUCCAAUUUCCCGAAAACAAUGCAAUCUUUCGCUUCUUC
rnacentral:lncRNA from 1 species